rnacentral:misc_RNA from 1 species
AAGUCGUAACAAGGUUUCCGUAGGUGAACCUGCGGAAGGAUCAUUAAUGAUUGGUGGCUGUUGCUGACUAGUGUUUCUAGUAUGUGCACGCCACACCUUCAAUCCCACUUACACCUGUGCACCUUCUGUAAUAGAUCUAUGUGGAUACGGAGAUAUGAAAGUUUGCGCUCUCAUACUCUGUUGAAGCAGUCUACUACGUUUUUUUACACACACACAAUAGUCAUUGAAUGUAUUUUUUAUUCUUAUGAUAAAAACAACUUUCAACAACGGAUCUCUUGGCUCUC